GACACGCCCUCUAGGCGUAAGGUUCCAUGCGAGCGGUAAGAGUGCGGCGGGACUUGGAAAUCGAAUCUGUGCUCUGUGAGAGAUCCUAGGAAAGGAAACUGGGAGCCCGGGAGAACUAAAAUUCCCAAUUAAAAGUGAAUUUAAAUCUGAGCUGUUCUUAGACCCAGAAUUUCUUGCCUGAAGGAGGAAUCAGGUCCCCACAAGGAAAGACCCUGCAACUGUAUAAAAAAAGAAUCUAAAAAGAUCAUGACUCCUUCAGUCCUUUCCCAAAGAGACCUAUGGAAAUUUCCUCAGGAAGAGGGACCAAGCAAAACCCCAGAAGAGUUGAUCUCAAAGCUUAUUUUAUGAAGAAAAUUGACCUGAGUGACACAAAGGGUUGGACUGUAGUAGAUGUCACGUUUUGCUGCCUAGAUCUCCAUCCAGGGAUGAACUCUUAUUUCCUCAGCUUCUUUGUCUCCUCAGCUUCUGGGAGGGUUGGCAGCUGAUAUUCUCACCUGAGUCCCUUUCUAGGACUUGCCCUUGCCUGAAGAGAGCUGUGCUGCCCAACAUGAUGCCUCCUCCAAGGUACAAUCCACACCCAGUGACUAAUAAACAGGGGUUACAAAGGCAUGCCUGCUUGCCCCAGUUUGGGACAACUUUACCAGGCCAACCCAGCCUCAAGGCUCUCCACAGGAACAGGGACCCUGAAAGCUGUGUCUAUGAAGUUAUUACAAGAUAUUGGCUACUGUGGUGCAUGGAGCUUCUAGGCCAGGGUGAUUCUCACACCUGCCUGAUGUGGAUCUUGUUGCUUCACACCUGAAACAUCAUUUGAGAAGCCCGGGAAGUGGUGUGGCUGCUGCAUGGCUGCUCCAAGAACUACUCCCAUGGGAGAGGAGCUCCCAACAGUGCCUUGCCAUCAAGCUUUGAUUUCUACCUUACAUACCUCUGAAUAAACUGUUGCCAAUGAGGCUGAUGGAAGUCUUGUGAGUUUGAAUGCCAGGUUGAACUUAAGAGGAUUCCCUGGUGAGCAUUGCAAGAUGGUAUACUCAAUGUUAUUAAUUUGUGGGGAGUUUAAUAAAAGUAUUGUUUAUAUUGAUGUGGGAAGGGUAUAGGGAAAUUACAAGGUAUGGUGCAGUGUCCCAAGAAUAGUAACAUGGGGCACUGAAAAGAUAGAGAAAGGAAAAGAAUGAGUGACCAGAACCUGGUGACAGAGCCACAGGGGAGGGCUGUCUGGCUGGAGCUGUGACUUACCAUUGAAGGACUCAGGAAGUUCUUUUUUUUCUUUAGACAGGGUCUCGCUCCGUCAUCUAGGCUGUCAUGCAGUGGUGUGAUCAUGACUCACUGCACCCUCAGCACACACCACCAUACUGGGCUAAUUUCUGUAUUUUUAUAGACAGGUUCUCACCAGGUUGCCCAGUCUGAUCUCAAAAUCCUGGGCUCAAGCAAUCUUCCUGCCUUGGCCUCCCAAAGUGCUGGGAUUAUAGGCAUAAGCCACUGCACCCAGCCCUCAGGCAGUUUUUAUUAAUUCUGCAGGAAGGGAGCUGGGAGAAUAAAAAUCCCGACCUCAUUUUCUUUCCUUCUUUUGUUCUCUUGCUUGAGCUUCCCAUGGAUGAACUGGAAGAAUUCAGAAAUUGAAUGAUAUAAAUAACAAAGUUAAAUUAAUAGACAUGUAUUGAACUUAGUUUUUAGAGUAUGUAUAAUUUUCCCAAUUUUCUGUGGAAUUAUUGCAAAAUUUGAUCACAAACUAUAAGGCUACAAUUUAAAAAUAUAACAAAUUCCUAACUGUAAAAAUUUUCUAGGUUAAAUUCUUUGAUCACAAAGCAGGCAAGAAAUGAAUGGUGGAACAAACUAAAAUACUAGCUCCAUGAAUGAAAAGACCUACAUGGAUAUGAGAGUAAUUAAGAAGGAGUUAGCAGCGAUGGGACUUUGUGAUUGACUGGAUAUAGACAAUGAGGAAUAUAGUGAAGGAAAGAUGAUUUCCUGAUUUCUGGCAUGGGCAGCUGAGUAGAUGGUUAUGCUAUAAACUAAGAAAAGAGAGAAGGAUAGGAAGAGAUGGGCCUGGAAGAGUAUGGAGUUUGAGAUGAGAAGAGAAAAUGGAAACUCUGAGGAGCACAGAAAAUUAAGGCCCAAGUGAAGAAAGAUGAGCUUGCAGGGAAGACUGGGUGAUGACAAGCGGUGUAGGAGAGAAUCCGGGUACUCUGUUUUGCUGAAAUGAGAAAGACGGACAUACAGAUGCAUAUAAAGGCAUAUAGAGGCAGAUAUAUUUAUAUUUGAGGAAGUCUGGACAUUGAGUAAGUUAGUGCUGAUAACUUCUAGUUUCUUAGUUAAGAAAGAGAUGAGGUUAUCUAUACGGAGUAAGGAGGAACGUGGUGGUGCCGUUGCUACUACGGUGUAAUACGUCACUACUAUUACUAUUAAUUAUGGUGUAAUACCUAAAACGUAGUGGCUUGAAAUAACAAUAAUUAUCUUUUAUCUCUCACAGUUUCUCUGGGUCAGAAAUUUGAGGAUAAGGUGGUGAAUGAUUCUGGCUCAAGGUCUCCCAUAUUGUUGUGAUCAGUGGCUGGAGCCAGAACAGCAGAGGGCUUAGAGAAUCUAGGGAUUGGUCAGAUGUCGCUUUCGUUUUAUCUGGCUUUGAGACCUCUCCAAUGUGAGCUAAUUUAGGCUUCCUCAUAGCGUGGUAACCUCAAGGUAUGUGAACCGUGUAGCGGUUGACGCUUCCAAGAACAAGUAUUCUAGCAGGCAAGGUUCAUCUUUUAUGCUUUAGGCAUGGAAAUUACAUAGCGUCACUUUCCCUAAAAUGAGAAAGGAUAUAGCAUGUUUGGACAGUACGAACCAGUAUCACCUAAUUGACAUUAAUAGACCAUCCUAUCCAGCAAUGGCAGAAUACAUAUUUCAAGUGUAGAUGGAACAUUCACCAAGGCAGAUCAUAUUCUGGGCCAUGUACAAAAAAAACUGAGAAAUUUAAAAGGAUUAAAAUUACAGAAAGCAUGCUCUCUGACCACAGUGGAAUUAAGCUAGAAAUAGAAAACAAAAAAUUAUAUAGAAAAUCCCCAAAUAUUUGGAAAUUUUUUAUUUUUGAUUUUUUAAAAUUGUGUUUUUUAACCAAUGAAAAAUAAUUGUAUUAUCUGUGGAGUACAUAGUGUUGUUUCAAUACAUAUAAAGUAUAGUGAUCAGAUCAUGGAUAUUAGCAUAUCAGUCAUUCCAGACAUCUAUAAUUUUUGUGUAGGGAACCUUCAAUAUUAUCUUCCAGCUAUUUGAAACUACAUAAUAUAUUAUGGUUAAUUACAGUUUUUCUAUUGUGGUAUAGAAAUUAGAUAAUAUACUCUUUUAAAGUCCAUGGGACACAAUGAAAAAUAAUUAGAAAAAUUAGAACAUACUUUGAACUGAUUGAAAAUUAAAACACAACAUAUCAAAAUUUGUGAGAUGCAGCUAAAGCAGUACCUACUGAAAAAUGUAUGGGAUUAGAUACUUAAAAAGUAGAUGUUAAACCAAUGUCCUAAGCUUCUGCCUCAAGAAACUUAAAAAAAGAGCAAGCAAAGUAAAUCCAAAACAAGUAAGGGAACAAUAAAGAUAAGAUUAGAAAUCAA
rnacentral:lncRNA from 10 species